rnacentral:rRNA from 1 species
AGGCCAGACUCCUACGGGAGGCAGCAGUGGGGAAUAUUGCACAAUGGGGGAAACCCUGAUGCAGCGACGCCGCGUGAGUGAAGAAGUAAUUCGUUAUGUAAAGCUCUAUCAGCAGGGAAGAAAAUGACGGUACCUGAGUAAGAAGCCCUGGCUAACUACGUGCCAGCAGCCGCGGUAAUACGUAGGGGGCAAGCGUUAUCCGGAUUUACUGGGUGUAAAGGGAGCGUAGACGGCGGCGCAAGCCAGAUGUGAAAGCCCGGGGCGCAACCCCGGGACUGCAUUUGGAACUGUGCCGCUAGAGUGUCGGAGAGGCAGGCGGAAUUCCUAGUGUAGCGGUGAAAUGCGUAGAUAUCAGGAGGAACACCGGUGGCGAAGGCGGCCUGCUGGACUGCGACUGACGUUGAGGCCCGAAAGCGUGGGGAGCAAACAGGAUUAGAUACCCUAGUAAAU